rnacentral:rRNA from 1 species
GGUUAAGCGACUAAGCGUACACGGUGGAUGCCCUGGCAGUCAGAGGCGAUGAAGGACGUGCUAAUCUGCGAUAAGCGUCGGUAAGGUGAUAUGAACCGUUAUAACCGGCGAUUUCCGAAUGGGGAAACCCAGUGUGUUUCGACACACUAUCAUUAACUGAAUCCAUAGGUUAAUGAGGCGAACCGGGGGAACUGAAACAUCUAAGUACCCCGAGGAAAAGAAAUCAACCGAGAUUCCCCCAGUAGCGGCGAGCGAACGGGGAGCAGCCCAGAGCCUGAAUCAGUGUGUGUGUUAGUGGAAGCGUCUGGAAAGGCGCGCGAUACAGGGUGACAGCCCCGUACACAAAAAUGCACAUGCUGUGAGCUCGAUGAGUAGGGCGGGACACGUGGUAUCCUGUCUGAAUAUGGGGGGACCAUCCUCCAAGGCUAAAUACUCCUGACUGACCGAUAGUGAACCAGUACCGUGAGGGAAAGGCGAAAAGAACCCCGGCGAGGGGAGUGAAAAAGAACCUGAAACCGUGUACGUACAAGCAGUGGGAGCACGCUUAGGCGUGUGACUGCGUACCUUUUGUAUAAUGGGUCAGCGACUUAUAUUCUGUAGCAAGGUUAACCGAAUAGGGGAGCCGAAGGGAAACCGAGUCUUAACUGGGCGUUAAGUUGCAGGGUAUAGACCCGAAACCCGGUGAUCUAGCCAUGGGCAGGUUGAAGGUUGGGUAACACUAACUGGAGGACCGAACCGACUAAUGUUGAAAAAUUAGCGGAUGACUUGUGGCUGGGGGUGAAAGGCCAAUCAAACCGGGAGAUAGCUGGUUCUCCCCGAAAGCUAUUUAGGUAGCGCCUCGUGAAUUCAUCUCCGGGGGUAGAGCACUGUUUCGGCAAGGGGGUCAUCCCGACUUACCAACCCGAUGCAAACUGCGAAUACCGGAGAAUGUUAUCACGGGAGACACACGGCGGGUGCUAACGUCCGUCGUGAAGAGGGAAACAACCCAGACCGCCAGCUAAGGUCCCAAAGUCAUGGUUAAGUGGGAAACGAUGUGGGAAGGCCCAGACAGCCAGGAUGUUGGCUUAGAAGCAGCCAUCAUUUAAAGAAAGCGUAAUAGCUCACUGGUCGAGUCGGCCUGCGCGGAAGAUGUAACGGGGCUAAACCAUGCACCGAAGCUGCGGCAGCGACGCUUAUGCGUUGUUGGGUAGGGGAGCGUUCUGUAAGCCUGCGAAGGUGUGCUGUGAGGCAUGCUGGAGGUAUCAGAAGUGCGAAUGCUGACAUAAGUAACGAUAAAGCGGGUGAAAAGCCCGCUCGCCGGAAGACCAAGGGUUCCUGUCCAACGUUAAUCGGGGCAGGGUGAGUCGACCCCUAAGGCGAGGCCGAAAGGCGUAGUCGAUGGGAAACAGGUUAAUAUUCCUGUACUUGGUGUUACUGCGAAGGGGGGACGGAGAAGGCUAUGUUGGCCGGGCGACGGUUGUCCCGGUUUAAGCGUGUAGGCUGGUUUUCCAGGCAAAUCCGGAAAAUCAAGGCUGAGGCGUGAUGACGAGGCACUACGGUGCUGAAGCAACAAAUGCCCUGCUUCCAGGAAAAGCCUCUAAGCAUCAGGUAACAUCAAAUCGUACCCCAAACCGACACAGGUGGUCAGGUAGAGAAUACCAAGGCGCUUGAGAGAACUCGGGUGAAGGAACUAGGCAAAAUGGUGCCGUAACUUCGGGAGAAGGCACGCUGAUAUGUAGGUGAAGCGACUUGCUCGUGGAGCUGAAAUCAGUCGAAGAUACCAGCUGGCUGCAACUGUUUAUUAAAAACACAGCACUGUGCAAACACGAAAGUGGACGUAUACGGUGUGACGCCUGCCCGGUGCCGGAAGGUUAAUUGAUGGGGUUAGCGCAAGCGAAGCUCUUGAUCGAAGCCCCGGUAAACGGCGGCCGUAACUAUAACGGUCCUAAGGUAGCGAAAUUCCUUGUCGGGUAAGUUCCGACCUGCACGAAUGGCGUAAUGAUGGCCAGGCUGUCUCCACCCGAGACUCAGUGAAAUUGAACUCGCUGUGAAGAUGCAGUGUACCCGCGGCAAGACGGAAAGACCCCGUGAACCUUUACUAUAGCUUGACACUGAACAUUGAGCCUUGAUGUGUAGGAUAGGUGGGAGGCUUUGAAGUGUGGACGCCAGUCUGCAUGGAGCCGACCUUGAAAUACCACCCUUUAAUGUUUGAUGUUCUAACGUUGACCCGUAAUCCGGGUUGCGGACAGUGUCUGGUGGGUAGUUUGACUGGGGCGGUCUCCUCCUAAAGAGUAACGGAGGAGCACGAAGGUUGGCUAAUCCUGGUCGGACAUCAGGAGGUUAGUGCAAUGGCAUAAGCCAGCUUGACUGCGAGCGUGACGGCGCGAGCAGGUGCGAAAGCAGGUCAUAGUGAUCCGGUGGUUCUGAAUGGAAGGGCCAUCGCUCAACGGAUAAAAGGUACUCCGGGGAUAACAGGCUGAUACCGCCCAAGAGUUCAUAUCGACGGCGGUGUUUGGCACCUCGAUGUCGGCUCAUCACAUCCUGGGGCUGAAGUAGGUCCCAAGGGUAUGGCUGUUCGCCAUACUGUCGGUAUUGGUGCUCAUACGCACUCCGUUGCGAUUGGUUCACAUGGACACACCAUCACCGUUAACGCUGCUGGUAACGCGGAAAACACCGUCAAAAACAUCGCAUUUAACUAUAUUGUGAGGCUUGCAUAAUGGCAUUCAGAAUGAGUGAACAACCACGGACCAUAAAAAUUUAUAAUCUGCUGGCCGGAACUAAUGAAUUUAUUGGUGAAGGUGAUGCAUAUAUUCCGCCUCAUACAGGUCUGCCAGCAAACAGUACCGAUAUUGCACCGCCAGAUAUUCCGGCUGGCUUCGUGGCUGUUUUCAACAGUGAUGAGUCAUCGUGGCAUCUCGUUGAAGAUCAUCGGGGUAAAACGGUUU